GAAUCAUGGAAUCAUAGUGACCAGUAACUGUUAUGGACUGGAUUGUAUCCCCCUCCAAUUCAGUUAUGGUGCUGCUUCAGAAAGAAAAGAGAUAGUUUCCCUUGCAAAGUUAUCAAAGUGCUCCCCAGAAGACAUUAGGUAUUUGCUUUCUAGUCUACAUACAAUGAAAAGGAAAAAACGUCAGUUCCUGAAGCUCUCUCAAAACAUCAACAGAUGGAAAGACGUGCCCAUGUCCUCCCCUCCCUCCACUCUGGGGGCUUGGAAAUGCUGCAGCAGGGAGCAGGCCCCAGGCUGGACCUGCCCUGUCCUCACGACGAGUGUGUGCAAAAGUGAACAAUAAAUCAUUUCAAAGAUGCAAGGAAGAAAAACCAAAACAUCAACAGAAUCUUCUUUCCCAUAAUCUUCAUGCACCUCCUGGUCCGGAUGAGUUUAUGUUCCCAUCUCCGAGCACAGGGAUUGAUUGUGAUGGCAUUUAUAGGACUGAGUGCCCCACACUCUGUGAUCCAGCAUGGAGUUAUGAUUUACAUCACCACAGGAAGAGUACAGAGGCUUCAACAGAAAAAAAGCAAAAACAACAGACCUUCAUUCAGCUUAGGAACAUAAUAAAUAGGACGAAGUUGAAUAAACGAAAUGGAGGGGAGUGAAGUAUUCCAGAUGGAAGAGGCAGUACGUGGCCAAGAGGAAACAGACCAUGUGCGCUGGAGAAAAAGGAUGGCCAGACUUGCAGAAACCUGGAAUUGGUGAUUGGCUUUAGAAGUGGAGAGACAAAAAAGGAGGCAUAGAAAGUGCCAACAUUUGGCUACACAGGGAAGAAAGACGUAAAAUAAUAAAAACAUUGGCAUCACCUGUAGACUCAAAUCCUGUGAGUGAAGGACCUGAGCAAUGAAGGAUGGAUUGAACUCGUGAUUAGCCUUCUUCAGCAUAUGUAAAAUGAUGUCUGCUUUUCUUCUCUAUUUGUCAUUUUACCGACUUUUUAUAUAUAGUAGUUUCCCCAUAUCCAUGGAGGAUGUAUCCCAAGACCCCCAGAGGAUGCUUGAAACCACAGAUAAUAACAAACUCUAUGUAUCCUAUGAUUUUUCCUGUACAUCCUUACCUAUCAUAAAGUGAGUGUAUAAACUAGGCACAGGAGAUUAAAAACAAUAACUCAUAAUAAAAUAGAACAAUUAGUACAACCUAAUGAAA
rnacentral:lncRNA from 10 species